GGUCAGCAGGGGGGACUGCUCUGGUGUGGUGUCCUUGUACCCUCCUGGCAACUGGCAAGCAGAAGGCUUUUUUACAGGAGUGUGUGUCUGGCAUUCCUCUGAAAAGCUCUCGCACAACUUAUGGUGCUGUGUCAGAGCGGUUUGAUUCGCGCUGUACCUGACAGCUGACUGGGGCAUCUUACCCGAAUUUGUCUGUACGAGGAGCCAAGUGAAGCAGGUUCUGGAUGUCAGCUCGUAGCCCGCAGGAAAACUCAUUAAGGGAUGAGCUGCACCGUGGACUGUUUUGAAAGCAGAGGUUCUCACAAAGAAGAUCAUUAUUCAACAAAACGGUUUCUCCGAGCAGUAAACAAAAUAUAAUCAGGCUUGUGACGUGAAUGGCACAUUGUAAAGCGGUGUCAGCUGUGGGUGGGACCUUCAAACAGAAAGAGCAUCUGCCCGGCUAAGUGGAAGCGUGCUCUCGGGGAGCCCUCCUUCCUUCAGGCACUGCGCACACAGAGAGGAAAGCGGGGAUCAGAGGGGGUCUCCGGCUAAUGAAGGGAGGCGUGCAGGAGAAAACAACACUGGCUCCUGCCCCCCCGUGUCUCCUUUUAACACUGGAGGGGCUGCCUUCUUCAGCUGAGCACAGCAUAAAUAAGUCAUGGUUCUGGUAACGUUGAACCCAAAGAAAGAGAUGCACAGCUUGGGGAGAUCUCCAGAGAGACAACAUGCAUCCGCCUGGCAUGGACAGAGGGAACAUCAGUCCUUACAGGAUUACUUUUAUUGUUCUUGACUGAUGUGUCAGGGAAAUGAAGCAGGAAGAGGAACUCCAAAGGCUAGCUGGAAAACAACCACCACAAACGACCCCCAGUGUGUAUUUUAAGGUUUUGAAAUCGGUGGAGUCAGCCUAACCACCUCGGAGAAGGAAAAGCAGCCCCGAGGGUCAGGGCUGAAAUGUCAGAGCAGUGCCCUGGGGAAGGCCCCGAGGUGCAGAGGGACUGCAGGGACACCCUGCAGGCUGUGGGAGCAUCGGGUGCCUCUCGGAGCCUGGGACUCGUGUCUGGUGGGGUUAUGAGGCUUUUAACAAUUCCUGCUGCUUUCAGCUCCUUCCGAGCCACAAGCUUCUUUUUACUAAACAAGGAAUUAACUUCCUGUAGGGUUUUCUGUCUUAAAGGGUGGAUGCCACACCUCGGUCAGUGUUAUGCAUGACCUGUGUUAAAUGGGAUGGUCAGAAAUCCUCUCCCCCUGGAAAAUCCAACAGGCUGCCAGCAAGUCCCAGGAGCUGGAGCCAGGCAGUGAAUCAGGAGAAGCCUCCUGAGCUCUCCCCAGCAUCUCCUCCUCCUCCUCCUGCUCCCACGGGCUCUCAGCUGGAGGCUGGGGGCAGAGGGAGCCGCGGGCUGCUGCUGUUUGAGCUGCACCCAAGGGAUGGGGUGCCGGGGGACCCCUGGCUCCCACCUCCAAGGGCAGCAGGACCCAGCCCUACCCCCAGAAACAAGCCAUGGGAUCUAGGCGCUGUGAGCUUGCUGCACGUCUUUUAUCCAGCUCUUUGCUGCCUGGGGAAAGGUGGCUCUGUCUCCACCAGCCCCCUCCUGCCUGCGGUGCGCGGGAGGGAGAGCUGCGGCGCAGGUGGGUGGCGAAAUGCAGAAACCCAGAAAUGCAGAAUGACAGAAUCGAGCCCAGCUCGGGGGCUGGCAGCCACUGCCCUAUGCUGAGAUGGGACUGGGGGCAGAAGGAGCAGCCCAAGCUGGUUGUCAGCUGCCAAGGGAGCUCUUCACGUGUGUAAUUAGGUGGCGAGCAGCAGUGAGGAGGGACUGGGAGAGCCCUGACCUGAGAGUGCUGCAAGAUGCUCUUCUGGGCAUGGAGCAGCACCCGUUACAGCUAAGCAGCUGAACAACAAUACUGGGGAGUUUAAUGUCAGAGAAAUUAAAUAUGAAGUUUUCCAGAUGGAAAAAUUAGCCCUUAGUACAUUUUUUUGUACCUCGACACUGGUAUUUUCACAUUUGGUUUCCAAACUGGUUUCAGAGAUAAGUGUGGGAUCGGGGUAUGCUGUGCCCACCACCAAAUCCAGAAUAGUAGGGGUGUUAUUUAAGAGCAGUAAUUUGGGAAGAGAGAUAAUUAGGAAACAAAAGUGUAUUAAAAUUACUAUAAAAAAGGAUAAAGCUCAUAAAAAUGAAAUUGCUUGACUGAUAAAGUGAAGUUUCAAACUUAUAAUGAGCUUAGACACAAUGCUGUUAGCACAGGAAGGUAACACACCUAAUUGAGAGGCUAAAAACAUGCAUUUGUAGACUGGAAUAAUGUGUAGGAAGCGGAGGUGGUGAUGGUUUCCCACCUUGUGGUGCCCACAGCGCCCAUGAGUUGCCCUCUUGCCCCUUCCACUUCCCAAAUAGCCAGCGCUUGGGGUAAGCACCCCCGUUGAAGGGCUGAGUGGCCCACAGCACCAAGAAGAUGACAGUUUUUUAUCCCUCUGGGAAGAAAUAUAACUUGCUUUUGAGGGUAAAUAAGCAAGUUAGUGUGGUAUCUUCCGCUCACCCUGCUAAUGCUGAGGGUGCUCUGGGUAUCGCUCUUCACCUCUCGUUCUAGCCAACUACCAAUGGAUACCAAGAAAAAUUGAAUCUUUCUGCUCUGAAGCCUCCCAUUAGUCUUUCUGCGAGAGAGUUCAUCUGACUCUCUGUCAAGACUCUCUUUAGAGCAGUAGGUAGAUGUGAGCUGGCACCAUCUGUUGUUUGUUGCUUUUUGGCUAGCGCGAUGUUUGGAGCUCAUCGCGUACGCAUUUUGGGGAAAUUACGAAACAGUUAAUUUCUAAACAAGCUACUGAGGGUGAAUUCAUUGAUCUGACUUGACUGAG